GAUGAACGCUAGCGGCAGGCUUAAUACAUGCAAGUCGAGGGGCAACAUGGUGUAGCAAUACACUGAUGGCGACCGGCAAACGGGUGCGGAACACGUACGCAAUCUACCCAAAACUGAUGAAUAGCCCUCCGAAAGGAGGAUUAAUACAUCGUAACUUAAUGAAGUGGCAUCACUUUAUUAAUAUAGCUCCGGCGGUUUUGGAUGAGCGUGCGCCUGAUUAGGAGUUGGCGGGGUAACGGCCCACCAAGCCUGCGAUCAGUAACUGGUGUGAGAGCACGACCAGUCACACGGGCACUGAGACACGGGCCCGACUCCUACGGGAGGCAGCAGUAAGGAAUNUUGGUCAAUGGACGCAAGUCUGAACCAGCCAUGCCGCGUGAAGGAUGAAGGUCCUCUGGAUUGUAAACUUCUUUUAUCUGGGACGAAACCUCUUAUUCUUAAGAGACUGACGGUACCAGAGGAAUAAGCACCGGCUAACUCCGUGCCAGCCGCCGCC
rnacentral:rRNA from 1 species